rnacentral:lncRNA from 10 species
GGCCAGCACCUGUAAUCCCAGCUACUUGGGAGGCUGAGGCAUGAGAAUUGCUUGAACCCAGGAAGCAGAGGUUGCAGUGAGCCGAGAUCUCACCACUGCACUCCGGCCUGGGCAACAAAGCAAGACUCUGUCUCAAAAAAAAAAAAAAAAGGCUAACUCAUAGGGGCACAGAAUAGAAUGGGGGUUGCCAGGGGUUGGGGAGUGAGGGAAAUGGGAAGAUACUGGUCAAAGCGUAUAAGUUUCAGUUAUGCAAGAUGAGUAAGUUCUGGAGAUCUAAUGUACUACAUUGUGACUAUAGUUAACAAUACUGUAUUGUAUAUUUGAAAUCUGCCAGGAAGGUAGAUCUUAAGUGUUCUUACCAUAAAAGAAAAAAGGUAAUUAUGUGAGGUGAUGGAUAUGUUAAUUAGCUUGACUGUGGUGAUCAUGUCACAACGUACAUGUACAAACAUCGAGCUAUAACUCCUUAAAUAUAUGUAAUUUCUAUUUGUCAAUUAUGUCCCAAUAAAAAUGAAGAAACAAAGUCCUCCCAACAUUCUGUAACUAAUACAUGUUUAUGUGCACCUUAAGAUCCUGGUUUAAACUCCAUGAGCAUCAUGAAAUCUUCCAAGGUCAAUCUCAAAUUUCAUUUUCCACUUGGCAACACACACACACACACACACACACACACACACACACUCUCCAUCUCUCUCUCAACUUGACCUAUAACAAGGCAAACUUGUUUUGAAAGAACAAAUUUCAGAUGUCUCAGAGACUCAAACAUAUUAAAGGUGAUCUAAAUCCAAUCCCUAUUCCUUUAGAGGCCCAGAGGUUUAAGUAAUUGCCAAAUGUGUUAAAUUAUAAAUUUCUUCAGUAAAAAAUCCAUGUUUUUUAUUUGUAAUCCAAUCUGACAAUGGUGGUCUGUACUCAAUAACUUGUACUACCUUCAAAGUAUAUCCUGAACCCAACCAACCACAUCUCUCUAUCACACCGCACUGCCAUACUCUAAGCCACUAACAUCUCUUGUCUGGACUUCUGCUUUAAUGUUUUAACUGGUCUCACUGUGGCCAUUGUUGCCCCCACCCCCAACAAUCUAUUUUCAUAUAAUAGCUAGCAUAAACAUAAAUCACAUCAUUACUUCCCUUCUUAAAACUCUCCAUGGUUGGCCAGGCGUGGUGGCUCACGCCUAUAAUCCCAGCACUUCGGGAGGUGGAGGCAAGUGGAUCAUGAGGUCAGGAGUUGGAGACUAGCCUGACCAACGUGGUGAAACCCUGUCUCUACUAAAAAUACAAAAAUUAGCUGGGUGUGGUGGCGCGUGCCUGUAAUCCCAGCUACUCAGGAGGCUGAGGCAGCAGAAUCACUUGAACCCAAGAGAUGGACGUUGCAGUGAGCUGAGAUUGCACCAUUGCGCUCCAGCCUGGGCGACAGAGCAAGACUCCAUCUCAAAAAAAAAAAAAACCAAAAACAAAUAAACAAACCACAGCUCUCCAUGGUUUUCUUCCUGUCACAUUCAUAAUAAAAUAUAAAUACCUUAGAGAGGCUUACAGACUCAACAUCUGGUCCCUACCCCUCUAACUUUACCUUGUAUCAUUCUUUCCUGCAAUCAUUAUGCUCCAACCAUGUUGGUUUCCUUCUACAUUUUAAUCCCAUCAAGCUUGUUCUUGCCUUAGGACCUUUGCACUACCUAUUCCCUCUACCUGGAAUAUUCUCCCUCCACCUGGAAUAUUCUCCCUCCAAAACCCUCACAUAGCUAGCUCUUUCUUGCUCUUCAGGUAUGAGCUUAAGUAUCACCUCUUCGGAGACGCCUUCCCUUAUCCCUAAAUCUAAAGCACUGAGUCAGUUACUCUCUACUCCAUAACACUGUUUUAAUUUCCUGCAUAACAUUUACCAGUAUCUGAUAUUUUAAUUUAUUGUUUAUUUAUGUUUAUCUCAUCCCAUUACAAGGUAAGUUCCAGAGGAGCAGAGGCCUUGUUUGUCUUUUCUUUUUUUUUGAGACGGUAUUUCACUGUUGUUGCCCAGGCUAGAGUACAAUGGCACGAUCUCGGCUCACCACAAACUCUGCCUCCCGGGUUCAAGCGAUUCUCCUGCCUCAACCUCCCGAGUAGCUGGGAUUACAGGCAUGCGCCACCACACCCGGCUAAUUUUGUAUUUUUAGUAGAGACGGG